GGGCCCGCACAAGCGGUGGAGCAUGUGGUUUAAUUCGAUGAUACGCGAGGAACCUUACCAGGGCUUAAAUGUAAGUUGCAUAGAUCAGAGAUGGUCUUUUCUUCGGACUACUUACAAGGUGCUGCAUGGUUGUCGUCAGCUCGUGCCGUGAGGUGUCAGGUUAAGUCCUAUAACGAGCGCAACCCCUGUCGUUAGUUACCAGCAAGUAAUGUUGGGUACUCUAGCGAGACUGCCGGGUGAAACCCGGAGGAAGGCGGGGACGAGGUCAAGUCAUCAUGGCCCUUAUGGGUUGGGCUACACACGUGCUACAAUGGGAAGUACAGAGGGAUGCGAAAGCGCGAGCUGGAG
rnacentral:rRNA from 1 species